AUAAUGUGCUCGCAUUAUAGAUUUCUGUCACAGAAUAAAUGUGGUCAGAUAACUUAAAAAUUUGAAAUGGGACAUUUAAUCUACUUAAUGGUCCAAUAUCCAAAAUCUAAUUCCAUGGUUAGAUUCAGCAUAUAUAUAAAAAAAAAGUUUAAUUUUGGACCCUUUGGACCUUAAUAUGGACUAAUUUGAAAACAGGGCCCAAAAUUAAAAAUCUGAAUGCACAGUAAGAUUUAACAUAUCAUAGAACCACAAGAAUUCUGUUUUUGAUGAUAUCAAACAAAGUCUAAUUUUGGACCCUUUGGACCUCAAUGAAGACCUAUUUAAAAAUGUCAAAAUAUCCAAUAUAGUAACACAUGGUAAAAACCUCAAAUACUUCAAGACUUUAAAUUAAUCCUCAUUGAAAUUGGUUAAAAGAUUUGUAUUUAUUUUCAAUUGAAGAUUUCUUGCUGUUGUGCAAUACUUUGCUGUUGGGCAAUACUUAGUAAAUCUGUUUACAAACUAAAUAUAAUAAUUUACACACCCUGUUUGGUGUGUAUCUCCUGCCAUAUCAGUAUUUGUUGUUACUUUAUAUAGAUCAGAAAUAAUUUAUGUUAGAACCAGCUUAGCCAAUAUUAGAAAAUUCUUGUUUUUGGCCCCUAUUUGGCUUCUAGUUCCUUAACGAUUAAAGCCACAACCCACAAAAUCAACCCCAACCUUCUGUGUGUGGUAUGGAACCUUGUGUUUCAAUUUCAUAGAGAUCCAUAGACUAAUACUUAAGUAAUUGUCCAUUAACCAGAAAAACCUUGUUUUUCCCCCCUUUUUUGCGCCUAAUUCCUGAACGGUUUGGGCCAUAACCCCCAAAGUCAAUCCCAAUCUUCCCUUUGUGGUAUGGAACCUUGUGGUACAAUUUCAUAGACAUCCAUACACUUAUGCCGCCGAUGACCUUAUAGCAAUAUACCAAAUAAAAUUUUUUGCGGUCGUAUAAAAAUUAGUCCCAAAACUCCUGUAAAAAUUAUCAAAUCAAAAUGUCUGUAUGAUAUGGUCAACUACACAUGAUGGCAUACUAGUGUAAGAGUUUUCUGUCCAAGGCAACAAUCUCAAUAUUUUUAAAAGGCAUCAUGUUAUGGUUUUCCAUUUCUUUCACAGAGUUUCCUUUUCUGCACUGCAGAAAUUCAAUUGUUUAAUAAGGCAUUUUGAAAAUGAAAACAAUAACUUGCCGCAUUCAAUAUUGCUGUUUUAAUCUACUAUAUUUUUAGAUAUAAAAGGCAAUAAAAGGCUCUGCUGGGCACAGCUUAAUACGACCACAGAGGUCGAACCCUGAACAGUUGGGGCAAGUAUGGACACAACAUUCAAGCUUGAUACAGCUCUGAAUUUGGAUUGUGAUUAAAUAUUUGACACAGCAUAGGUUUCUGACACAGAAAGAAUGUGGUCUAAGAACUUGAAUUUUUUUAAUUUACCUAUUAUGGUCCAAUGUCCAAAAUCAAAAUACAUGGUUAGAUUCAGCAUAUCAAAGAACCCCAUAUAUUCAAUUUUUGUUGAAAUCAAACAAAGUUUAAUUUUGGACUCCAACUUGGACAAAGUUGAAAACUGGGCCCAUAAUAAAAAAUCUAAACACAUGUUUAGAUUCAGCAUAUCAAAGAACCCCAAGAAUUCAAGUUUUGUUAAAAUCAAACUAAGUUUACUUUUGGACCCUUUGGACCUUAAUGUAGACCAAUUUAAAAAACAGGACCCAAAAUUAAAAAUCUAAAUACACGAUUAGAUUUGGAAUAUCAAAGAACCCCAAAAUUCAAUUUUUGAUGAAAUCAAACAAAGUUUUAAUUUGGACCCUUUUGACUACAAUAUGAACCAAUUUGAUAGCGGGGCCCACAAAUAAAAAAUCUAAAUACAUGGUUAGAUUCAGCAUAUCAAAGAACCCCAUAUGCUGAAAUCAAAAAAAGUUUAAUUUUGGACCCCAACUUGGACCAACUUGAAAACUGGGCCCAUAAUCAAAAAUCUAAACACAUGUUUAGAUUCAGCAUAUCAAAGAACCCCAAGAAUUCAAUUUUUGAUGAAAUCAAACAAAGUUUAAUUUUGGACCCUUUUGACCUCAAUGUGGACAAAGUUGAUAACGGGGCCCAAAAAUCUAAAUACAUGGUUAGAUUCAGAUGAGAACAAUACAACAACAAAUAAUAAAAAAUCUAUAGCAGAUACUUUUAAUAACUUUUUUACUUCCUGUGCUGAAAAACUAAGAGAGCAAAGAGAUAUUUCAUCUGUUGACAAGGCAGAUUUCAAUAAUCUUAGCACAUUCAUUAAUUAUCAAUUAAAACAACAACAAAAUGCUUCGCUGGGCGCAGCUUGAUACAACCGCAGAGGUCGAACCCUGAACAGUUGGGGCAAGUAUGGACACAACAUUCAAGCUUGAUACAGCUCUGAAUUUGGAUUGUGAUUAAAUCUUUGACACAGCAUAGGUUUCUGACACAGAAAGAAUGUGGUCUAAGAACUUGAAUUUUUUUAAUUUACCUAUUAUGGUCCAAUGUCCAAAAUCAAAAUACAUGGUUAGAUUCAGCAUAUCAAAGAACCCCAUAUAUUCAAUUUUUGUUGAAAUCAAACAAAGUUUAAUUUUAGACUCCAACUUGGACAAAGUUGAAAACUGGGCCCAUAAUAAAAAAUCUAAACACAUGUUUAGAUUCAGCAUAUCAAAGAACCCCAAGAAUUCAAUUUUUGUUAAAAUCAAACUAAGUUUACUUUUGGACCCUUUGGACCUUAAUGUAGACCAAUUUAAAAAAAAAGGACCCAAAAUUAAAAAUCUAAAUACACGAUUAGAUUUGGAAUAUCAAAGAACCCCAAAAUUCAAUUUUUGAUGAAAUCAAACAAAGUUUUAAUUUGGACCCUUUUGACCACAAUAUGAACCAAUUUGAUAGCGGGGCCCACAAAUAAAAAAUCUAAAUACAUGGUUAGAUUCAGCAUAUCAAAGAACCCCAUAUGCUGAAAUCAAAAAAAGUUUAAUUUUGGACCCCAACUUGGACCAACUUGAAAACUGGGCCCAUAAUCAAAAAUCUAAACACAUGUUUAGAUUCAGCAUAUCAAAGAACCCCCAAGAAUUCAAUUUUUGUUAAAAUCAAACUAAGUUUAAUUUUGGACCCUUUGGACCUUAAUGUAGACCAAUUUAAAAAACAGGACCCAAAAUUAAAAAUCUAAAUACACGGUUAGAUUUGGCAUAUCAAAGAACCCCAAGAAUUCAAUUUUUGUUAAAAUCAAAGUAAGUUUAAUUUUGGACCCUUUGUACCUUAAUGUAGACCAACUUAAAUAAAAUGCUCGGCAGGGCACAGCUUGAUACGACCGCAGAGGUCGAACCCUGAACAGUUGGGGCAAGUAUGGACACAACAUUCAAGCUUGAUACAGCUCUGAAUUUGGAUUGUGAUUAAAUAUUUGACACAGCAUAGGUUUCUGACACAGAAUGAAUGUGGUCUAAGAACUUAAAAAUUUUAAAUUGGACAUUCACAUAUUAUGGUCCAAUAUCCAAAAUCUAAAUACAUGGUUAAAUUCAGCACAUCAAAGAACCCCAAGAAUUCAAUUUUUGAUGAAAUCAAACAAAGUUUAAUUUUGGACCCUUUUGACCUCAAUGUGGACAAAGUUGAUAACGGGGCCCAAAAAUCUAAAUACAUGGUUAGAUUCAGCAUAUCAAAGAACCCCAUAUAUUCAAUUUUUGUUGAAAUCAAACAAAGUUUAAUUUUGGACCCCGAUUUGGACCAACUUGAAAACUGGGCCCAUAAUCAAAAAUCUAAAUACAUGUUUAGAUUCAGCAUAUCAAAGAACACUAAACAUUCAAUUUUUGUUAAAAUCAAACUAAGUUUAAUUUUGGACCCUUUGGACCUUAAUGUACUCCAAUUUGAAAACAGAACCAAAAAUUAAGAAUCUAAAUACACGGUUAGAUUUGGCAUAUCAAAGAACCCCAAUAAUUCAAUUUUUGAUGAAAUCAAACAAA